GGCGUCUUGGUGAAGUGGUGAACACACCGGCCCUUCAAGUCGGUAUUCGCGAGUUCGAACCUCGCAGGCGCUA
rnacentral:tRNA from 1 species